CCCCUCUCUCUUCUACAGAUGGGGAACUAAGCUCAGUGACCAUCCUAUUUGGUGAUCUAGAAGUGUGGGCUGAUGGUGCUGCUGUGCCCACUGGGUGGAUGCAUCCUGUGUCCAGUUUGACUCAAUGGAUAGCUGUCUCUGCAGGUCCUAAUGUCAUUCUCAGGGAAGAAGGAUUUCACACAUGUGCCACAGAGAAUGAGAGCAAUGAAUACCCCCACCAGCUGAAGUGACAUUUGUGUUGGCUGUUUACAAGGAAUAAAGGGUGGCCCGGGAUCUCGGGUGCUGAUGUGUC